rnacentral:rRNA from 1 species
UACGAAGGGUGCGAGCGUUGUCCGGAAUUAUUGGGCGUAAAGAGCUCGUAGGCGGUCUGUCGCGUCGGUCGUGAAAACUUGGGGCUUAACCCUGAGCUUGCGGUCGAUACGGGCAUGACUGGAGUUCGGCAGGGGAGACUGGAAUUCCUGGUGUAGCGGUGAAAUGCGCAGAUAUCAGGAGGAACACCGGUGGCGAAGGCGGGUCUCUGGGCCGAUACUGACGCUGAGGAGCGAAAGCUAGGGGAGCAAACAGG